CAGUCGCCGCGGGAAAACGGAGGGAGCUAGCGUUAUUCGGAAUUACUGGGCGUAAAGCGCACGUAGGCGGCUUUGUAAGUUAGAGGUGAAAGCCUGGAGCUCAACUCCAGAAUUGCCUUUAAGACUGCAUCGCUUGAAUCCAGGAGAGGUGAGUGGAAUUCCGAGUGUAGAGGUGAAAUUCGUAGAUAUUCGGAAGAACACCAGUGGCGAAGGCGGCUCACUGGACUGGUAUUGACGCUGAGGUGCGACAGCGUGGGGAGCAAACAGGAUUAGAUACCCCGGUAGUCCCUGUCUCUUAUAC
rnacentral:rRNA from 1 species